GCCUACGGGGGGCAGCAGUGGGGAAUAUUGCACAAUGGGGGGAACCCUGAUGCAGCAAUGCCGCGUGAAGGAUGAAGGUUUUCGGAUUGUAAACUUCUUUUGUACGGGACGAAGAAAGUGACGGUACCGUAAGAAUAAGCCACGGCUAACUACGUGCCAGCAGCCGCGGUAAUACGUAGGUGGCAAGCGUUAUCCGGAUUUAUUGGGUGUAAAGGGCGUGUAGGCGGGAAUGCAAGUCAGAUGUGAAAAAUAUGGGCUCAACCCAUAGCCUGCAUUUGAAACUGUAUUUCUUGAGUGCUGGAGAG
rnacentral:rRNA from 1 species